AGCAGCCGCGGUAAUUCCAGCUCCAAUAGCGUAUAUUAAAGUUGUUGCAGUUAAAAAGCUACGUAGUUGAAUUUCGGGGUCAGUAGGUCGGUCAUGCCACUGGUAUGUACUGGUCUCACUGAUUCCUCCUUCCUGAUGAACCGUAAUGCCAUUAAUUUGGUGUUGCGGGGAGACUGGACUGUUAACUUUGAAAAAAUUGAGUGUUUAAAGCAGGCUAACGCUUGAAUACAUUAGCAUGGAAUAACGGAAUAGGACGUUCGAUCUUAUUUUGUUGGUUUCUAAGAUUGACGUAAUGAUUAAUAGGGAUAGUUGGGGGCAUUAGUAUUCAAUUGUCAGAGGUGAAAUUCUUGGAUUUUAUUGAAA
rnacentral:sRNA from 1 species